AGAACUUUUAAAACACUGCAUAGCUUUUAUUAACAAUAGUUUACUUUUACAACUAUCAAAAUCUUGUUAACUUUUUAAAGGAGAACAAAGUUCAUUUUUUAAGAUUUCCGGUAUUCAACUUCUGGUUUUACUUUCGGUUUUAAAAUGCCAAAUAACUUCUGAUUUGUAAGUCUAUCAGAAAAAAGAUUCAAAUUUUCGUGAUCCUCGUCAAAUUUGGGAUCGACUGCAGGUGUCAGCUCAGCUCAAAAUACCAGAAAAUCGUCAAAAAUCGCAAAUUUUCCGGAACUAGUUCAUGAAAAAUCGCGAUUUUUGUCAAAUCCGACUUUUGGUUAAAAACACGUCAUUCCAACCCCAAAUUUGAUAAGGAUCAUGAAAAUUGUACUCGUUUUGUUGUGGAAUCACUAUUUCCGGAGAUAUUUGCUACUUCCGGUUACUUCCGGUAAAUUUUGUGACAAUUUGCAAAAAGUAAAAAAUGAGCUGUAUUGUUGUAACAAUUUCAAAUACUUUUCUUGCAUGCGUUAGGGUGGUGCAGCUAUUAUUCUGUGUUUUUUUCGCUAUCACAGUACAGGCUGACCCUACGAGCAACGACAGUUUUAGCUACAAAUGUUUUAGCACUCCGUCUUGCAACUAGUAGUUGAUAUUCUCAGUUUUUGUGUUUAAAUUGAAAUUCAACUAUUUGAGAUCAGAGGAGAAACUAGAUGGCGUUUAUGUGCGUCUAUGAUAAAUAUUAAGAGUGACAAGUUAAAUUGGUGCUUGUUACGUUUCUACCCUGUUUAGUGUUUCAAAUGAUUUUUCAUCAAAUAUUAACGGUACACUCAAUUGUUGUUUGAAGGUGGAUUAUCACCAGACAUCUUUUGAAUGGUACGCCCACUAUCAGCAGCCUUACAGUGUGCUUCAUAAAUACAUCAACCCCUGAGAUAACAUUAUCGUUGGAAAUUGUGUUUUUGUUCUCCACUUUUAUUAUCCACAUGGAAUUUUCACACUACUUCAUUACCUUCAUGGAAAAUCAGGUGUGAUAUUUUAUCGUUCUGGAAAAAGGAUUAGAAUACUUUUUUUUUUCCAGAAUUUCCAAAACUGGGAAUUGUCCAAAGAUUUGUUAAAGCUGAUAAAUGUCAAAAGGCACGCUCUGAGUAGAAAGGAAACACGGUUUGCCUUACAAUUUUAUCAUCCUGGAAAAAGGAUUCUGGAAAUUGAUGAGUUCUAAUAUACAGCUGGUUUUCAGGUUUAUUUUUACAUGUACCAAAUAGAUCUGCAUUAAUGUUGUUUUGCUUUCACACAAGCAGAUAACAAGUUUAAUAUAUUUACAUUUCAGAAUGAGCUUCCGAUUUGAAGUUGUGAGUGUUUUAUCGAAUUAUGGAUUCCUACUUUGAAAACAAAAUUAUUUGCUUCUACAAAUGGUUUUUGAAGUAUGGUACAUGUGGUAUUAUGUACUCAAUGAUGCAAUCACCAUUGUGUGCUGCAUAAUCUUAUUAUUUUAUGGAAUCAGUUCGUUCAAUUGUAACCUAUUUUUGUAUUCAAAAUAUAGAUCUUCGCGAAGCCUUUAACUAACGUUAUACUAAAAAAUUCUCAUGGGAGGAAGUUCUUUCAGGAUCUGUUAUCGACCAUCUAUGUUAUGCAGUAAUUGGAUCUGCAGUUUAGUUAGAAACUUUAACUUAGAAAUGUGCUCAGCAUAGAAUUUAUAUAAAAAAAGAUAUUUAAUUGGAAAAAGUUCCUGGUUGAGACGAGAUAAAAAAAAUUGUACUGUUUA